UGGGAAGGAAAAAUUGAGAAGCUUUUGUGCAUAUAUACACAUAACAUAAAUGUUCCAUCAUCAAAAAAUAUAGGUGAUCUUCAGAGAGUCAUCACCAAAUAGCUAGCUUACUGAAGCAAUAUAUGAUAAGAAGCAUGUCCAACAAUUAAGUAUAUCACGAAAUGGCCUUGCAUGAUGGUGCAGAAAGCAUGAGUUGCAGCCAAGGAUGACUUGCCGACUUCUGAAUUAAAAUUAAAUAGUAUUGUUCUUCGUACGAUCGAACUUGGAUGAGCAAAGUUGGCAAGUGGUCCUUGGCUAUAUCUUUCUUUCUGCCUCUCAAGCCAGGUCUUUGGUGAACAUCAUACUAUUAAUUCUUCUACAAAACCAUGGUAAUGCCUUCCCAUUUUUCGGUAUAUAUCCUUAAUUCUAUAUCUGCAAAGCAUGCUGCCCCUCAGCUUAUACAUCUUUAACCCCAUAUAUGUUGUGUUUAAUUACCCCCUCUUUUUCGUUUAAAAGAUACACACUGAUAAAGAAACACAUUGCAUAUAUCACAUUGUUAGGGACUUUCUAGUAUAUUUUGUGGCUUGUUAAUCUCGAGCAAGAUGCUUCAUUACAAACUGGAGAGGAGAUUCAUAAAUCAUAAAAAUCACAAAACUAUUAAAUUCGAUAGCCCGCCAUGUGUGCUAAAGAGUUUGUAACUACUUAUUUCAUCCCUGUAGGUGCAUCGCCGGAGUUUGGGUAGCACAAGGGGUUCAUCCAAAUUCCUUUUGUCAUAAAAUUGCAUUGUCUAUAUUGGUCAAAACUAUCUUUUACGUGUGUAUAACAGAUUUUGAAUUUCCAUGGCUUCUUCAUUUGUUUACUCAUUUAGAUUUUGAAUCCCUCUGAAAAAAUUCCUGAUUCCACCAUGCUGUAGGUGGGCACACAUAUGGUCUUCCUUCCCAGUACCCAGAUCAAUUUGUAGGGACCUGCAUUCUGAAAUUAAAUACGAUAUUUUUGUGUUUGGAUACCUGAAGCAACAACGCACUAUUAGGGGAUUCAAGUAGUCAACAUCAAGAAAGCAGACAAUGUAUUGGUGUUUAUCCUCCUCAACACUGAUGUAUCAAGUUGCAUUCAUGCCAUUUCACAGAGCCAAGCUCGACACCUCCAAGCUCUUCAGGGACUAAUCCUGAAGAUAGAUGUGCUUAAGCAUGCUUUCAUUCUAUUACGGAGGGUUAUGUCUUGAUGGUGGGAUUGGAGACCGAGAUGAGGGACGAGGAGCCAAAUGCGACCACAAGUGGGACAUACGACACCGCAAGAGCGCCUUAUUUGACUUCAAAAUUCUUCGCUCACUGUUUGGGAGAUGUAUCCACAAGUGGGUGAUGCAGCUGCAAACUGGAAUUGCAUCUCAGGGGGCAGUCCAUUUUUGGUAUGUUUUUGCAAUGCUUUGAAGUGCCCAAUUUUGAAACUUUUUGUAAUAAGUUAGCCUAAACUCUAUACAGUUGUGAAUAGCUUAUCUGGACUUGGUGAUUUUAGAUACUAUAAGACUUAUGAAACUCUUGGGAGAGUGGCUAUGAACUUUGGUGCUAUACAAUUUUGACGGGGUUGAUUGCUAGAGGAACAUUUUUCU